GAUUUCUCUUUAUUUUUCUGCACUCUCAUCAGCAAAAAAAAUGUCCUAAGGGUUUCUUCAAGCUGGGUUUUCAUAAUUUUUGCACCAAGUGAGUUAANNNNNNNNNNNNNNNNNNNNNNNNNNNNNNNNNNNNNNNNNNNNNNNNNNNNNNNNNNNNNNNNNNNNNNNNNNNNNNNNNNNNNNNNNNNNNNNNNNNNUUUUUCUUGUAAUUUUUGUGUUUCUAAGACUUUUACAACUAGGUCCUAUUACUAAAUUCAUUAGUUUUUGAUUUUAUGAAUGAUAUUGAAAGUUGAUAUGAAUAUGUGCUGGAAGUUUAUGAGGAAAUAGGAUGAAAUUUAUGCUUUAAUUUAUUUAUGAGAUGAUUUUAUUAGGUAAUUCCAAUAGAAAUUGAUUUGUAGGACCUAAUUGUGAAAAAGUUUGGAAUUAAAGUUUAGUGCUGAAAUUAUGACUUCCAAAGGUUAUUAGGUAGUUUAAAGUGAUAUAAUAAAGUGUUGAUUGAGAAAAAUCAGCUCAAUUGAGAGGUUAAUUGAGCAGGGACGAAAUUAUCAUUGUUGAAAGCUUAAGGGAAAAAUGGUAAUUAACACCAUGCACUAAAACAGAUUUGGACAGCAGCAGUACUCUGACUUUUAAAAUUCACUAAAAAUUGUAGAGAUUGAAUUAGAGGAUGAAUAAAAUAUGAAAUUAAAUCUUAUUGAGUCUAGUUUCUUAUAAAAGAAACGGUGUAAGCAAUGGAAUUGUAAAUCAUGAGAUAUAAUAGAUUUUGUGAGACAAGGUCAGAAUGAAUUCAGGUUCCCCUAUUCUGACUUUGGAAAAUCAUUAAAAAUUUUAAAAAAAUGAUUAUGAGUUAUAAUUUAUAUGCUUAGAAUCCUUAAUGAGUCUAUUUUCUGAAGAAAUAAAGGGAAGCAUCAUCCUAAUUCUGUACAGUGAGAUAAUUAAUUUUUGGUGAAGAGGGGUCAGAACUGUCAUACAGUGAAACAGGGGAAACUUUAAAGAAUAAACUGUACUUAUUGGCUACACCAAAAAUUCUGAAAUUUUUAUGGUAAGAAUAUAUGUGAGUCUAGUUUUAGGGAAAAUUAUCGGAUCUUAAUUUGGAGUUCCGUAUCUUAAUAUAUAAAUAAUUUAGUGACUGUAACUCAGUGAGGCAGCUUUGAAUGCACUAUAAAUAAUAAUGGAAUUGUAGAGAAAGUUACAUAUGAACAUGAAAUGUAUUAGAUUAAUGAUUAAAUUUAUUUAUUUAGAUCCGGAAAAUUCAAAUACGAAGCAAGAUCGAGGAAAAGAAAAAGUUCGGGAUUAGUAGAUUUUUGUUUACGAACAAUUGUCGAGGUAAGUUCGUGUAACUUGAAUUAUAUUCAUAAAUGCUUGAAAUGUUUGUUAUUGAUGUGAAUAUGAUUUGGAUGUUUAUUGUAUGAUAACUGAUGAAGUAUUGAUAUUCUGGAUGAAAAGAGGAAAUAAAUCUCGGUUGAAUGAAAGGAAAGUUCGAUGGAUCUUUGAAAAAGAAUUGACGGUAAAAAGGAUCUAGCCCGGACGGGUGAUCCUAUCCUGAUAUAGCCCUCCCGAAGAAUAUGUGGAAAAUGGAUUUAGCCCGGACGGGUAAUCCGAAUUAGGGUCUGAAUUUAGCCUGGACUGGUAAUUCAGAUCCAAGCUCAUUAGAGUAAUUGUCGUUGCAGGGGAUUUAGCCUGGACUGGUAAUCCCGACAAUACUCUGUGAGUUUAUAUUACAGGGGAUUUAGCCUGAACUGGUAAUCCCGCUGUAAGGAUGAGGUUCGCGGGAGUGUGCUCUCUGAAAUGGAAAUGUGCACACAUGAAUAUGAAUUGACGGACCCGGAUUUGUACACUUAGGUGUACCCCUGAAUAUCCAGCGAAAUUCCAAGUAGUUCAACGGGAUAAAUAUGGAAAAAUAACAAGGAAAUGGAAAUCAUGGAAUUGAUGAGCUCAUGAAUCAUUUAUCUUUGUAAUGAAUUUGUAUGAGGUUGAGUUUGUAUGUGAUAGGUAUAUGUUUAUGUGAAUUGGAUGUGUGCUUGUGUUAUUAAAUGAUGGAUGUAUAAGUAUGGUAAGUAUAAUUCCUGUUGCAUGAACUUACUAAGCACAAAGUGCUUACCCUGUUUCUUUUUCCCCUGUUUGUAGAGUUAAGAGCUCGGAGGUCGGAUUUGGUCGGAGACACAUCACACUAUCAAUCUCGAGAUCUCGGUACAUAAAGGAACUUUAUUUUGGAAAUCAAUGGCAUGUAUAAGCUAGUAAAUUAGAUGUUAAUGUGAAAUGAAUGUACGGUUAGCCAUUGGUAUGGCUAACAAAUUUUGGUUUUGGUAUGUGAUGAAAUUAUCUUAUGAAUAUGAUAAAUCUAUCUUAAAAAAAAUUCAGUAAAAUCUGGUAAUGCCUCAUACUCUAUUUCAGUGACGAAUACGGGUAGGGGGUAUUACAUUCCAC
rnacentral:lncRNA from 1 species